rnacentral:rRNA from 1 species
AUGGCGAAGCGUCGGAAGCUCACGUCCGCCAUUGUAGCAGAAGAAGAGAGAAGGACGCACGUGAUCAACAUAGAUGGGUACUCAAGAACCAAGGAGCUGCUCAAGGCCGGCGACUGCACCACAUCCAUCCCUUUCAUGGUUGGGGAUCAUAACUGGGUCGUCAAGUAUUACCCGAACGGCAACGACAAACCAGGUCACAUAUCUGUUUAUCUGGUCCUUGAUUCGGCGGGCGGCGAGGGCGUGAAGGCCAAAGUCACCUUCAGCAUCCUUGACAAGGGUGGUGAACCAGUGCCUCCGUACGUCAAAGUCGCCCCGGAACAUGUGUUCCCAUACAGUGGUUCAGAUUGGGGUUUCGGCGAUUUUAUCAAGCAUGAGGAUCUGGAAGGAUCGGUGCAUCUAGGAGGCGAUAGUUUUAGAAUCAAGUGUGAUGUGGCCGUGAAGAAGAUCCGUAGCGAAGAGACACACGCAAAUCAGUUUGUUGUGGUUCCUCCAAGCAACUUGCAUCAACAUUUCGGUGAGCUCUUGAAAAGUAAGGAUGGAGCAGACGUGGCCUUCCGAGUUGGUGGCCAGGUAUUCGAGGCUCAUAGGUCCGUGCUCGCCGCUCGUUCGCCGGUCUUCAAGGCGGAGCUCGUUGGCGCCAUGAGGGAGAGAUCCGGUGAUCCGAUUGAAAUUGAUGAUAUAGAAGCAGGUGUGUUCAGGUCCUUGCUCCAUUUCAUCUACACGGACUCACUCCCUGAGACGACUCAUGAAGGAACCGAUGAAGGCGCAACACAAGAAGAUGUAGUGACAGCUGGCCAUCUCCUUGUAGCGGCAGAUAGGUAUGACGUUGCGAGGCUCAAGCUGAUAUGCGAGGAGAUAUUGUGUAAUCACAUCGAUUCCGACAUGGUUGCAACUACCUUGGUUUUGGCUGAACAGCAUAAUUACCAUGGACUCAAGGAGGCUUGCUUCGAGUUCCUUGCUUCUCCGUCCAAUUUGGAAGCGAUGAUCGCAAGUGAUGGUUACCAACAUCUAAAAAGCAGUUGCCCAUCUCUUCUCAAAGAGCUGAUUUCUAGACUCUUGCCUGUUGAGCUGACAGCAGCCAAGGAUAUUAUCAGGGACAUUUAG